AAUCAACGCUGGCGGCGUGCCUAACACAUGCAAGUCGAACGAGAAAGUGGAGCAAUCCAUGAGUAAAGUGGCGCACGGGUGAGUAACACGUGACUAACCUACCCUUGAGUGGGGGAUAACCUCGGGAAACCGGGGCUAAUACCGCAUAAUAUCGAGAGAUCAAAGGAGCAAUUCGCUUAAGGAGGGGGUCGCGGCUGAUUAGCUAGUUGGUGAGGUAAUGGCUCACCAAGGCUAUGAUCAGUAUCCGGCCUGAGAGGGCGCACGGACACACUGGAACUGAAACACGGUCCAGACUCCUACGGGAGGCAGCAGUGGGGAAUUUUGCGCAAUGGGGGAAACCCUGACGCAGCAACGCCGCGUGGAGGAUGAAGUCCCUUGGGACGUAAACUCCUUUCGAUCGGGACGAUAAUGACGGUACCGGAAGAAGAAGCCCCGCUAACUUCGUGCCAGCAGCCGCCGUAAC
rnacentral:rRNA from 1 species